ensembl:lncRNA
CAUACAAAUAUAAAAAAGAUAGAAACCAGUUGGCUCCUGGCUAAAGAGGUCAGAAACAUUUAUCAUGAUUUUAAUAAAAAUAUUCUAGUCAGUUUUACCAUAAUUCACCAAUCAGAAGUUGAUACAACAACUCCGGAAAACCUUUACACCUGCCCGAGACAGGCAUGCGUAAACGCCAAUCAUAGAAAAUAAUGACAAGUUGGUUAUAAACCGAAGCCGUGUGAAGUUGUGUUGUGUUUUUCUUUUAAAAACUUUGAUAUUUAUCCAAUUUCAUUUUAAGAAGUUUUUAGUGGUCGUGCGUUUUUCUCUUGACGUUUCGGUCCCUCCCACGCGGUGCUGUUUUUGACAGUCGGUAGUCGCGGUCGAGUAACAAGACUCAGGCACGUUAACUAGCCAUUUAACUGCAUUAGCUAGCUAGCUUGUCAGUGACAGGGUGCUAAAGAUACAAUUCGUUAUUUAUGCAAACGGUUGUGUGACAGGGAUUACAUUGCUGGAGGGAUUAAAUGAUAAACCUGAGCAUUUUGUUUACAGACUAUGAACCGACGUUACACUACAUAACGUUCAAAAGCUGCUCCGUGUCUUCUCUGUGGCUUCGUUGUAUAGAGCUACAAUAGGCUAGCUAAUUAGCCUGCCAAGAGGCUGCAGUAGCUCUGAAGCUAUCUGGCUAGGUAGUAACGUUAUUGUUUUAUGGUGCGCGGCAGACCACAGCAGCUCUGCUCUAUGUGUGAAGCAGUCGACCACCAGCGACCUUUGGGAAGUGGAAAUUGUCUUUUUGUCUUAAUUGCAUGAGCGCGCACUGAAAAGGAUAGCUGGGGGCCCAUUUAUGCACUACCCAACAGUUUUUGAAAGGGAAUAUGUCAGGUAAGCUUCACUCGUGACUAAUGGUUGAACAUGUUCAUGAGCAAUUCGAAAGCUUCAGAGAUGGCAGACAGUUCUCCGCCAUUUUUAGCGAGUAGCUGUUGCUACCAAAGAGCAGCGCCAAAUGCACUCCUCUUCAGUUAUGCAGUAUUAACAUGAAUAUCUGAUUUUCUGCGUAAUGGAAAUGUUCAUCAAACUCCGCUAUUGGCUCUGGGAAGCGAGAGUGUGAUGCAGUUGCCAUAGACCAGAAUGUGUUUGGGUGUGAUUUUUUUUUUUUCCACAAGACUACCUGCAGUCUUUGUUGUUUGCUAAAAAUAACCAGGAGAGGGAGAGAUGUGUGCAUUUGGCACCAAUGGAUUCUAUAGAGCUGUGAGAAGGGAGAGAUCAGAUGGUGUCAUUAUUGGGUCUGCUUGGUUUGUUUGCCAGGGAUCGGUGUCUUGUGCUGCGGUCUGAAUCUCUGUUUGCAGCAGCAGUAGCAGCAGAAUGUUUUUUUUAUUUUUUUUUCUUCUAGCG